GGAGUGCUGUACUUCAGAGGGAGAGCAUCUGCUUUGCACUCAGAAGGUCCCAGGUUCAAUCCCCGGUAUCUCCA